rnacentral:rRNA from 1 species
GAUGAACGCUAGCUACAGGCUUAACACAUGCAAGUCGAGGGGCAGCACAGUGUAGCAAUACAUGGGUGGCGACCGGCGCACGGGUGCGUAACGCGUAUCCAACCUUCCCGUUACUCUUGGAUAGCCUUCCGAAAGGGAGAUUAAUACAAGAUGGUAUUCAAAUUCCGCAUGUUAUUUGAAUUAAAGAUUUAUCGGUAACGGAUGGGGAUGCGUGACAUUAGGUAGAUGGCGGGGUAACGGCCCACCAUGCCUACGAUGUCUAGGGGUUCUGAGAGGAAGGUCCCCCACACUGGAACUGAGACACGGUCCAGACCCCUACGGGAGGCAGCAGUGAGGAAUAUUGGUCAAUGGUCGGAAGACUGAACCAGCCAAGUAGCGUGAAGGAUGAAGGUUCUAUGGAUUGUAAACUUCUUUUAUACGGGAAUAAAACACCUUACGUGUAGGGUCUUGUAUGUACCGUAUGAAUAAGCAUCGGCUAAUUCCGUGCCAGCAGCCGCGGU